GAUGAACGCUGGCGGCGUGCCUAAUACAUGCAAGUCGAGCGAACAGAUAAGGAGCUUGCUCCUUUGACGUUAGCGGCGGACGGGUGAGUAACACGUGGGUAACCUACCUAUAAGACUGGGAUAACUUCGGGAAACCGGAGCUAAUACCGGAUAACAUUUGGAACCGCAUGGUUCUAAAGUGAAAGAUGGUUUUUCUAUCACUUAUAGAUGGACCCGCGCCGUAUUAGCUAGUUGGUAAGGUAACGGCUUACCAAGGCAACGAUACGUAGCCGACCUGAGAGGGUGAUCGGCCACACUGGAACUGAGACACGGUCCAGACUCCUACGGGAGGCAGCAGUAGGGAAUCUUCCGCAAUGGGCGAAAGCCUGACGGAGCAACGCCGCGUGAGUGAUGAAGGGUUUCGGCUCGUAAAACUCUGUUAUUAGGGAAGAACAAACGUGUAAGUAACUGUGCACGUCUUGACGGUACCUAAUCAGAAAGCCACGGCUAACUACGUG
rnacentral:rRNA from 1 species